rnacentral:rRNA from 1 species
UACAGAGGUCCCAAGCGUUGUUCGGAUUCACUGGGCUUAAAGGGUGCGUAGGUGGUGAGGUAAGUCGGAUGUGAAAUCUCCGGGCUCAACCCGGAAAUGGCAUUGGAAACUACCUUGCUGGAGGAUUUGAGGGGGGAUUGGAAUACUUGGUGUAGCAGUGAAAUGCGUAGAUAUCAAGUGGAACACCAGUGGCGAAAGCGGCGCGCUGGACCACUACUGACGCUGAGGAACGAAAGCUAGGGGAGCAAACAGG